rnacentral:rRNA from 1 species
UACAGAGGUCUCAAGCGUUGUUCGGAUUCAUUGGGCGUAAAGGGUGCGUAGGUGGCGAAGUAAGUCGGGUGUGAAAUCUCGGGGCUUAACCCCGAAACUGCAUUCGAUACUGCUUUGCUCGAGGACUGGAGAGGAGAUUGGAAUUCCCAGUGUAGCGGUGAAAUGCGUAGAUAUUGGGAGGAACACCAGUGGCGAAGGCGGCUCACUGGACCGGAACUGACGCUGAGGCGCGAAAGCGUGGGGAGCAAACGGG